GAGGCGGGCGAGUGGGGGUUGCCCCUCCUCACCUGCCGCCGGCUUCUCUCUCGCUCCAGCGGUUCUGAGGGGCUGCGGUGACCCGGCUUCCAGUGUGUCCGGCGGGGGAAGCGGCGGCGACGGAAUGGCGCUGCUGGGCUUACUGCAGGCGGGCGGUUCAGUGCUGGGACAGGCAGUGGAGCAAGUGACGGGCGGCAGCCUCCUCUCCACGUUGCUGGUGGCCUGCGCCUUCACUCUCAGCCUGGCCUACCUGUUCCGCCUCGCCGUUGGCCACCUGGUCCCCCUGCCGAUCGGAGCGAAAACUCCACCAUACAUUUUCUCCCCAGUUCCAUUUCUUGGGCAUGCUGUAGCAUUUGGGAAAAAUCCUAUUGAGUUCCUAGAGAAUGCAUAUGAGAAGUAUGGACCCGUAUUUAGUUUUACCAUGGUGGGCAAGACUUUUACUUACCUUCUGGGGAGCGAUGCUGCUGCAUUGCUUUUUAAUAGUAAAAAUGAAGACCUGAAUGCAGAAGAUGUCUACAGUCGUCUGACAACACCUGUGUUUGGGAAGGGAGUCGCGUAUGACGUUCCUAAUGCAAUUUUCUUGGAGCAGAAGAAAAUGUUAAAAACUGGCCUUAACAUAGCCCACUUUAAACAAUACGUUUCUAUAAUUGAAAAAGAAACACAGGAAUACUUUCAAAGUUGGGGAGAAAAUGGAGAAAAAAAUUUGUUUGAAGCUCUUUCUGAGCUCAUAAUUUUAACAGCUAGCCAUUGUUUACAUGGAAAAGAGAUCAGAAGUCAACUCAGUGAGCAGGUGGCACAGCUGUAUGCAGAUCUGGAUGGAGGUUUUAGCCAUGCAGCCUGGCUGCUGCCAGGUUGGCUGCCUCUGCCUAGUUUCAGACGUAGAGACAGAGCUCAUCGAGAGAUCAAGAAUAUUUUUUAUAAGGCAAUUCAGAAGCGUAGGCAAUCAAAAGAAAAAGUUGAUGAUAUUCUUCAAACUUUACUAGAGUCUACAUACAAGGAUGGCCAUCCUCUGACAGAUGAUGAAAUAGCAGGGAUGCUUAUUGGACUGCUUUUGGCAGGGCAGCACACGUCCUCAACCACUAGUGCUUGGUUGGGCUUCUUUGUGGCCAGAGACAAAGCACUACAAGAAAAAUGUUAUUUAGAACAGAAAACAGUCUGUGGUGAGGACCUGCCUCCUUUAACCUAUGACCAGCUCAAGGAUCUAAAUUUACUUGAUCGCUGCAUAAAAGAAACAUUAAGACUUAGACCUCCUAUAAUGACCAUGAUGAGAAUGGCCAAAACUACUCAGACUGUGGCAGGGUAUACCAUUCCUCCAGGACAUCAAGUGUGUGUUUCUCCCACUGUCAAUCAGAGACUUAAAGACUCCUGGGUAGAACGUCUGGACUUUAAUCCUGAUCGUUACUUACAUGAUAACCCAGCGUCAGGAGAGAAGUUUGCCUAUGUGCCAUUUGGAGCUGAAGAUGUACAGGUGUCUAUCUGCUGUUUUUCUGAAAUGUAGAUAAGCAAAUGAUCACUCGCAAGUUAAAAAGAGGUGUGUGUCUGAACUAGUUCAUGGAUGGAUUCAAAUUUGUUUUAAGAAGACAAUUCAUACUGGAUGUGCUACAAUACCUGGGUUUACUCAGUACAACAAAAGAAUCCCUGCUAAAAGGAUGAAGAUCUGGAAAGAAGUAAGCUUAUACCUCUGACUGUACAAACAGCCUUUCAAAGAGUCUACCAGUAAAGUGACUUUACCUGGAAACUGCGAUGGACACUCUGGCAGCUGAACGAAACCUGGUGAAGCCCCGGGGGCGGUUGGUGAUGACUUCUAGAUCAGUGAAGGCUGGCUGUCCCCCAAUGCGGGCAAGCAGUGCCAGGGUCGCAUCUUCACAUUCUUGGAACCCACCCAGUAACAGCAGCAGAAGCAAUGAUGGCAUUAAUGUUGGCUCCACCACCAAAUGAAAACCUAGAAGACUGCAGAGACCACAUCCUACUUACAUGAUUUUUAAAGAACAAAUCUCAUGAAGAAAAACUAGAAUUAAUCAUAUUAAAGGUAUCCCAUGAUGGGUGCCUAGUAUCAGCUUUUUGAUCUCAGGAAAGCUCAGAACCAAUCUAAACUGACAUUAAAGAAUAUUCCUGAAGUCUAAGCAUAUGUUCCUUUGCUGAGGAAAAAGUCCCUGGCAAAAGCAUAGCCAGGGGAGGCUUAGCAGAUUUAGCAGAGUUCUGAACUGAGAAAGUCAAGCAGCUGAACAGCUGGAUCAUCUGGGUCCAAAUGUGGAGCCUGCACUCAAGAAGGGGACAGGAAAUAACUCCUCAUGUAUACAGAUCCUACUAAGAAUCAGAUACUGGGUACUUUUACAUCUCAGAGUCAGAAACUGAAACUGGACAAAAGAAACUGUAACUUGGCACUACUUUAAAAAAUGACGUACGCAAUCUCCAGCAGCUCCUGCCUGUCGGUAGCACCUUAUCCGCUCUUCUAGCUUCAUGACCGUGUUCCUCAAACCACUCUUUUCUUCAGUCAGCUGGCUGAUAUGUCCUGUCAGCUCAGCAUUCUGUCUCAGAAGUCUUUCAGUCAAUGAGCCACAAGAAGCACUUGGGGACACUAAGCUGGGCUGGGAAAAUACAAUGGGACUAGGUCACAUAAUUACAAAUGUCCACAAAUACUGUGUGUGAACGUGUGAAGAGGCACAGAGAGCACCCAUUACAUGACCAGUGCUUGGUUAAAUAAUAGUGAGAAAUGCAUCAGGAAGAAAAGAAGCUAGGGAAGGGCACAGUAAGCAAAAGAGCAUAAAGACAAAGGCUUAUUCAAGAGUGCUGCUUUUAAGGGAGCUACAAGUUACUUGGUAAAACAAGAAUAAAUGUUGCUUCAUUUUGUGGAAAAUGGAUUUAAAUGAAGGCAAUGGAGAGCCAUGAAAGGCUUUGGGCAGGAGCAUUCCACAAAGUUAUGUACUGGAAAGAUUCCUUUCGCAAUAGUGCCCAGAAGAAAGUAAGUUAGGGAAGAGCCAAUAUUCUAGUGUCAGGCAUACCCAUGAGGAGGUAGUUACAACAGUCCUGGUAAGAAGUACUGAAAGCUGAGGCAGUGGCUAGGGACAGAGAGCAGUGGGCAUAGGGAUCAAACAUGCAGAGGUAGAAAGCACAUGACGUAGACUGCUCAGCUAUGUAAGUCCACUACUUUUUUGUUUUGUUUUUGUGGUACCGGGGAUUGAACGCAGGACCUUGUGCUUGGGAGGCAGGUGCAGUGCCACUGAGCUAAGUCCCUGGCCCUACUCAGCUGUGUAAGUAAGGGCAAGGGAAAGUAGACUAUGGCGACUUCCAGUUUUCCAACCGGGAUGACAGCAUUAUCAGAAAGGUAGGAAGGUUAGGGGAUAAUGAUGUUCAAUUUGGAGCAUGCUCCUGGGAUUCCUAAUGGGUCAUUAUGGGGUAUGGGGAAAUGAAAGACACCUAGUAACUAAUUGAAAAUGUAAGCCUGGAGCACAGGUCAAAGGUCUAUACUAGAACCACAGUCCACUAGACAAUAAACUCUAUGAUGUAUAUGA